rnacentral:lncRNA from 1 species
GGAGACUCGGCGUUUUGCUCUGGAGUGAGUUUGAUGGUAUGUGUUUAUUUCCAUCUGACUCACAGGGUCUCUUUUCCAAAACAUGGAGGGGCCAGCACACUUGGAGGAAGUGGCAUUUGUGAUCUACAUCCCUGCCUCGGAGCCUGUGUUGUGAAAGCUGAGUAAGCCAGAUCAAAGUCUCCCCGCCUGGCUGGCCAUCCAGUCCUGGGGGGGACUUCUUACUUCAACUACAGAUCAUUGAUCAAAGUUAUCUAUCCGCCACCUGUCCCUAUGUCAGCCGGGGUCCGAGGGCUUUGACUGCAUGGCUUAAGCAUCCAACGGGAAGGGGAAACCCCUUAUUUUCUCCUUCACCAGAGACUCUCAUGGCAGGUGGCUGGCUUCCCCAGGUUCUCUCGAUUCCCAUCCAGAACCCGAGUUUCUGUUUUGUUUGACGACAGUGACCUAAUUUCUUUUCGACUCAAUGUGCAGACACACCUUAUGACUGUCUGUUCUAAGAAUUGUAAGCCUUUCAAAGUUCGGAGUCACAGGGGCCCGGGAAGGGACAUCCCCUCUGACCUUUCCAUCUUACAAAUGGGAAGACAGAGGUGCAGACUUGAGUCCCUGGCUAUCGUGAGGAUGGUCAGAAAGGCAUGGCAGCAGCUCAGGGUUCGUGAGGCAGUGCUCACUCUUCUGCAUCAGAUUGCGUCUGCAGGCUUCUUAAAACUCUGUUCUUCCUCCCCUUCUCUCUUUUCCCUCCUUGCCCCUGCCCAUCUGAUCAGGUACCUAGAUCUGAAACUGUCCUCCAAGAACUCCUGUGUCCCACCACCUGCAACCAGAGGUUGUGGGUUGAGGUUGAUUCUUCAAGGAAAUCAAUUUCAAGGCAAUAUGGUUAAAAACAUUAUCCACAACUGCACAGAGAAGCAGGUCAGUAAAUAUCUGUUGAAAUUCGAAUAUGUGAAUGAAAGGCCUUCUGCAUCCAAGGGACAAUUUCCAGCAUCCUGGGGCCUUUUUUUUUUUCUUUUAAAUGAGGCAGCCAGGGAUAACAACUUCAGCUGCUGUCACAAGACAGGAAGAGAAGGGGUCUCUUCCCCAUGGCUCUGUCCUUGUCCUCGUAACCUGUAUGCACUGCUGAACUUCCUGAAUAACCUUGUCGUGGUGGCAGGAGGAGGGAGCAGGAUGAACUUGAGCCUGGACACCCAGUUAAAGCCUCAUUAUGAUCUUUGCGAAAUGCCAGGGGGACACCUGUGUGGUUGGCGCAGGCUUCCAUGGCACCCAGGGCUGUGUCCACCUUCUGCUCCUGGGUGGACCAAUGUGAGUUCUGUAAUCCACAAGUGACCUGCACCCUCCAAGAGCCACUUCACCCUUGAGAGACUCUGGAGCUGACGGGACAGUGUUGCUUAACCCCAGAUUGAGGUUUACCAGGAAAUGCCCCAGGAGGCGGCCCACGGAGAACAGGCUAUCGCCAGGUUGCAGGGCACCCCUUGCCCUUCCAGCCCUGCAACCUGUUUUCUUCCCAUUAUGCCUGGUGGAGACCUGGCUGUGGGCUUUCAGCCAUCCCCACAUGGUCCUCCUCAAAGGCCGGCCUGGGAGAAAUCCAUGACCUAUGGCACAAGUCUCCGUCAACCCUGCUGAGCACCCUGGAAGUGCGUGAGAUGCUCUGUUCAUGUCGUGAGGAAUUAAAAAGGAAAGGGGGUCAGUCCUUCUGGUCAUAGUUGCAAACACCUGCAAGGCAGCCUAGUGGGGCGGUGACUGCACCUCCUGAGCCAGCACACCUGAGCUUGCGCCCCAACGUACCUUUGCCAAGGUUUCUAUAAAGCCCUUGGUAAAAAUGACUUAAUUUCUCUGAGCCUCAGUUUUCUUGUGAGAUGGAGAUAAUGAAAUCAUGCAGAGAACUGCAGAGUAAGCAGUCAACAGUGUGUUACUAGGCCUGGCACUAAGAUCACCAAUAUGAAGACCCUCAGAUUUCUGAAGAAGGGACUUAGAGGAGAGGCCAGGUCUAGAGGCAAGACAAUGGGUUCAAUGCAAAAUGGAGAUGCUGUGGCACACAGACCAGGCAGCGGAGCCUUGAACAAGUGCAUGGACCUCCAAGGCGUGAUUCCUU